rnacentral:rRNA from 1 species
GAUGAACGCUGGCGGCGUGCCUAAUACAUGCCAGUCGAGCGAACGGACGAGAAGCUUGCUUCUCUGAUGUUAGCGGCGGACGGGUGAGUAACACGUGGAUAACCUACCUAUAAGACUGGGAUAACUUCGGGAAACCGGAGCUAAUACCGGAUAAUCUUUUGAACCGCAUGGUUCAAAAGUGAAAGACGGUCUUGCUGUCACUUAUAGAUGGAUCCGCGCUGCAUUAGCUAGUUGGUAAGGUAACGGCUUACCAAGGCAACGAUGCAUAGCCGACCUGAGAGGGUGAUCGGCCACACUGGAACUGAGACACGGUCCAGACUCCUACGGGAGGCAGCAGUAGGGAAUCUGCCGCAAUGGGCGAAAGCCUGACGGAGCAACGCCGCGUGAGUGAUGAAGGUCUUCGGAUCGUAAAACUCUGUUAUUAGGGAAGAACAUAUGUGUAAGUAACUGUGCACAGCUUGACGGUACCUAAUCAGAAAGCCACGGCUAACUACGUG